AAUUUUUCUUACUAACAGGGUUCAAUAUUUUCCCCAUUUCCGUAAGCCAACGUGUGUCAGUUCGACAACGAACCAUAUCACAUUCACGUGUACGGCUUAGAUCAUGUUUCACGAAGUUCUCGUUAUAUUUUUUCCCCACCCAAAUAGAACCGUGUCAUGGCUGGUACGUUAUCGCCGGAAAACUAUCCCAUCUCCGAUCAGACAUCGAGCGAUCAUUAAAGUUUUACUACAUAGCAGUAUAGUUGUGGAAUUAGCUACCUCUAUCAGCUCACCCUUUAAUUAGCUCUCAUCAUCUCUUUUUUCUGAAAAGGGAUUAAUAUUUAGGCAUAUGUCGCUCCAAUAUGGAUGAGAAUGAACGAACAACCAAAAAAAGGAAGAUCAUUGUUGGAUUUUAUGUUUUUAUGGUGGCAAUUGUAGCAGUGUGGUGGCAUGAGAGAGGUAUGGCCAGAGAGCACCCCCAAGAUCUGAGAAGCCACGAAGAGUCUGAUAACUCGGAAGAGACUUCCAAGGCCAUUAGUUCUUAUGAUGGGCUGAACGAUGAUGUCAAUAGCGUUAACGAAGUCCAACAUGGAAGAUCCAAUGCCUCAUCCUCAGCUGGUUCGCAUUGUCGGAAAAGAAAACGGAGCUCAGACGUAUAUAAUACGGUUUUGGGGUGUAUGGCUGAUUUACUAGAGAAAUUUCUACACUAUGAACCGCCAAAGGCGACAGCUGAGAUGGUGCUAAAAGAAGUCUCUAAGGUGUCGAACUUGGACCAAACACAAGUCAUGAGGCCGGUUGAUUUGAUGAUACAUGAUGAAAUAAAGUUUGAAAUAUACUCUGAACUUCCAGAUGAUCUGAAAAAACCUUGGAUCAUGAUGCAUUUGAACCAAUGAAAAUUGCUUCUUCCAAGGAGAGCUUGCUGCCAAGACAUAGCCUGUUGAAAGAACCAUUUGAAUUUUCUCCCUUCCUCUUUGUAUCUUGUGUUCUCUGUUGUUCAGCUUGACGAUUCCUUGUUAUUGUAAUGCACUCUCAGAUUGUGAAUGUCGAUGCUCUAUGAUCAGGUGGAGUGAUCAAUGCUA